CUUGAUGAAUGGCAGAGAGGUCACACCCGUUCCCAUACCGACACGGAAGUUAAGCUCCUCUAGCGCCGAUGUAAGUUGGGACCUUGUCCCUGUGAGAGUAGGAACGUCGCCAAGC
rnacentral:rRNA from 1 species